UCCCUGGUAGUCCAGUGGUUAAGACUCUGCACUCCCAAUGCAGGGGACACAGGUUUGAUCCCUGGCCAGGGAA